CAGAUUGUAGCUUAUUUAAAAGUUGAUUAUUUACAUUAAUAGGAAAAAUUAUUAUUUCAUUCUGA
rnacentral:tRNA from 1 species